rnacentral:rRNA from 1 species
UUGACGGGACCGCACAAGCGGUGGAUGAUGUGGAUUAAUUCGAUGCAACGCGAAAACCUUACCCACCUUUGACAUGGCAGGAAUCCUGAAGAGAUUUGGGAGUGCUCGAAAGAGAACUUGCACACAGGUGCUGCAUGGCUGUCGUCAGCUCGUGUCGUGAGAUGUUGGGUUAAGUCCCGCAACGAGCGCAACCCUUGCCAUUAGUUGCUACGAAAGGGCACUCUAAUGGGACUGCCGGUGACAAACCGGAGGAAGGUGGGGAUGACGUCAAGUCCUCAUGGCCCUUAUAGGUGGGGCUACACACGUCAUACAAUGGCCGGUACAGAGGGUAGCCAACCCGCGAGGGGGAGCCAAUCCCACAAAGCCGGUCGUAGUCCGGAUCGCAGUCUGCAACUCGACUGCGUGAAGUCGGAAUCGCUAGUAAUCGCGGAUCAGCAUGUCGCGGUGAAUACGUUCCCGGGUCUU